GGCUGCCGCGAAAACGAGGGAAAAUACUCUGCGUUAUCUGCUUCAACACGACGAAAAAAAAAAUGCCGCAAACCGACGAUUUGUUGCUCUUCACAAACGCUAAACGCAACAGACAAAUAAGAGAGAUUAAGCUUCUCACGAGGCCGAUAUUCUUCUUCUUCUUCUUCCAGCAGCCGAAGAAAACCAAAGUUCGGGUGAAUCUGCUAAAAUCGCAAUGAGGAAAUCUGAUUCGAGAAUGCGGCUGGAGAUUCUUGUUCCUCUUCUGUUAGUACGUGUGGAGCUGCUAAUAGAGUAAUACUGGCUGUUUCGUUGCUACUGCAGCGGUGAAAGAUGAUAUAUCGUGUAUCUCGAGCUUGAUUGAUGAUUUGUAGGGAGGUUCAGAAUACACUCAUGGUUGUAAGUUGUUUCUCUUAAAUGCUUGGCUUGCAUUUCCUGCCUAGGUCGCGAUUUACUAUUCCUCGUUGUUUCUGCUAGUACAUGCUAUAGGCUCAAAUUCAAUGAUCGGUUUUCCAUCUGGAACGGCAUUGUUGAGAAGAUAUUUUUGUUUAGGACUCUCUGCGUUGGCAUAUAAAAAAUUAUGAAGAUCUUGCAUUAGAAUAUGUUUUACUUGACGGCCUUACCUAAACUGGUAGACCGUGUCCUGGAGUUCUAAAGUAUACGUCGCACUGCUACAAAA